AUGGCCUCGCCGUCGUCCCCUAGCCGCCGGCUCGCCGGAUCCCUAAUCCUGCGGCCAGGCGCGGAGGGGUCUCUGAUCCCGGGGCUCCCGGACGACGUCGCGGCCGUCAUCCUCUGCCUGCUCACGUUCCCCGACCAGUCCCGCCUCCGCGCCACCUCCCGCGCGUGGCGGCUCCUCCUCUCCGCCGCGACGCUUCUCCCGCUCCGCCGCAGCCUCCGCCUGCCUUCCCGCCACCUCGUAUGCCUUUUCCCCACCGACCCAUCCCUCGCCUCCCCCAUCCUGCUCGACCCUGCUGCCCCCACCGCCUGGUGGCCCCUCCCGCCGAUCCCCUGCUCGCCGCAGCUAUACGGCCUCGCCAAUUUCGCCGCAAUCGCCGUCGGGAGCCACCUCUACGUCCUCGGCGGUUCUCACUUCGACGCCCGGAGUUAUCCCCUUGGCCACCCCUCACCCUCCGCCGCCGCCUACCGACUCGACCUCGCCCUCUCUCGCCACCGCUGGGAGCGCCUCCCGGACAUGCACAUCCCGCGCGGGAGCUUCGCCUGCGCUCCCGCGCCCGGCGGCGGGGUCGUCGUCGCAGGCGGCGGGUCCAGGCACCCGACGCUCCCCUCCUCUGGCAGCCGCACAAGCAGCACCGAGUGGUACGACGCCGCCACGCGUACCUGGCACAUGGCCACGGCGAUGCCCCGGGAGAGGGCCGGGUGCGUGGGAUUCGUGGCGCACGGGGCAGGGGGUGUGGGAGAGGAUGAAUUCUGGGUGAUGGGCGGGUACGACAGGUAUACCACAGUGGGGGGAGUGGUGCCGAAUGACCUCUACUGCCGGGACGCCAUGGCGCUCGGACUGUGGAGCGGCAAGUGGAGGGAGAUUGGAGAUAUGUGGGUGGAAGGGGAGAGACGUCGACUCGGACCGGUGGCCGCCAUCUCUGCAGAGGAUGGGAAGGUUACAGAUGUGUUCAUGCUCGACGGAGACGAUAUCUUCAGGUAUGACUUUGCUUCAAACGGGUGGUCGAAGGAGGCUACUUUGAGGAGAAAGAUCCCAGAGACUGAUCUGUGUGGCUUCGUAUCAUUGAACGGUGAACUGCAUGUGCUUAAAUCUGCCAAACUUCCUGCCGAAACCCUCCAUCCUCGGAGGCAGUUAAAGAAGAGGCUGGCUUUGGAGUUUCAUGUUUAUAACCCGCUGGCAAGGAAAUGGAGAGUGUUCACCACAUAUCCCCCCGUCAGUGUGCCCAUCGAUUUCAGAACAGCAGCUCUUUGUACAGUUGAGUUGUAG
rnacentral:rRNA from 1 species